rnacentral:rRNA from 1 species
AACGAACGCUGGCGGCAGGCUUAACACAUGCAAGUCGAACGCAUCCUUCGGGGUGAGUGGCAGACGGGUGAGUAACGCGUGGGAACGUGCCCCUCAGUUCGGGAUAACCCAGGGAGACUUGGGCUAAUACCGGAUACGUGCGAGAGCAGAAAGAUUUAUCGCUGAAGGAUCGGCCCGCGUCUGAUUAGCUAGUUGGUGGGGUAAUGGCCCACCAAGGCGACGAUCAGUAGCUGGUCUGAGAGGAUGAUCAGCCACAUUGGGACUGAGACACGGCCCAAACUCCUACGGGAGGCAGCAGUGGGGAAUAUUGGACAAUGGGCGCAAGCCUGAUCCAGCCAUGCCGCGUGAGUGAUGAAGGCCUUAGGGUUGUAAAGCUCUUUCGUCCGGGACGAUAAUGACGGUACCGGAAGAAGAAGCCCCGGCUAACUUCGUGCCAGCCGCCGCGGUAA